rnacentral:rRNA from 1 species
UACGUAGGGUGCUAGCGUUGUUCGGAAUCAUUGGGCGUAAAGCGCGUGUAGGUUGUUAGGUAAGUCGAUUGUGAAAUCCCUGGGCUCAACCGAGGAAGUGCAGUCGAAACUACCUAGCUAGAAGACGGCAGAGGAAGGUGGAAUUCCUAGUGUAGAGGUGAAAUUCGUAGAUAUUAGGAAGAACACCGGUGGCGAAGGCGGCCCACUGGAUCGGUACUGACGCUGAGGUGCGAAAGCUGGGGAGCAACAGGAUUGAGAAAC